GUUUUCGGGUAAUCGCGGUCUGACUUGAUCAGGCUGAGGAAAGUCCAUGCUCGCACAGGCUGUGAUGCCUGUAGUGUUCGUGCUUAGCGAAACCAUAAGCUAAGGUACUCUUUGGAGUAACGGCAGGAAAACAAGCUAAGGCUUCGGCUAUGCUUAAGUAUCCUUGAAAGUGCCACAGUGACGAAGCGGCUGGGGAAACCCAUCCGGUGGAACGCGGUAAACCCCUCGAGCGAGCAACCCAAACAAUGGUA
rnacentral:RNase_P_RNA from 1 species